AACGCACGAGACCUGCGGACCUGCGGAGGGAUCAUUAACGAGAUCAUGCCCUCACGGGUAGACCUCCCACCCUUGAGUACUACACCUUUGUUGCUUUGGCGGGCCGCUUCGGCCACCGGCUUAGGCUGGUGAGCGCCCGCCAGAGGACCCUAAACUCUGAAUCAUGUGUCGUCUGAGUACUAUACAAUAGUUAAAACUUUCAACAAUGGAUCUCU
rnacentral:misc_RNA from 1 species